rnacentral:misc_RNA from 1 species
GAAGAGAAGUUGGAGCCAUUGAAGAACACAACUGAUGAUCCACGAUUCCGACUUUUGAAUCGACUUUAUGCAAAGAAAAGGAAAGAAUUAAAAGAGAGACAAAAAUUAAAGAAUGUUGUGGUUGAAGAAGAGAGUGUAGAUGACCGCUCUGUUGACGAUCUUUUGUCAUUUAUUAAUGGGGAAAGUGGAGAUUCCAAAGUGAUUGAAGCUUCAAAGAAUAAAAAAAGAACCGAAGAAGAAAAGAUCAGCCAAAAAGAACUUCUUCAAAUGAAGCCAUUGUAACACAUGAUAAGCCUAGUACCAGUGAGAUGCCAAAGUUACGAGGUGCAGAAAAUGACAUUUUCACACCUAAAGUUGAAUUUGGUGAUGUUGAUGUUGAUGAUGAGAUUGAUCCAGCAUUAAAAGAAAAAAUUGAUAGGGAGGUUGAAGAUUUUGCUCGGAGACUUAGUUCAGAUUGGCCUGAAAGGAUGCAAGAGCUUCUGUCUUUGGGACAAGGGAGAAGGCCAGUGCAUUUUGCAAUUAAUGGCAAUGGUGCCUUGCGAGGAUAUGGAAGUACGUGUUCUCUUCCCUUGUGGUUUUGAAAUUGCCCUUAUGAUAUUUUCUGCAUCUGAUCCUAGGUUUUCUUAUUUUUAUUUUUCUUUAACUUGCCUCCUUUGUUUGAUACUACAAGAAUUUUCUUCCUACAUGUUAUUUAUAAUUUUAGUUAUGGGAUUGAGAUUUUAAAAUUUUUUAUUAAUAUCAUCAGGUGCCUACUGGUGUUGUAUUGAUUCUGUCACCUAUUCACACUGCAUGGUUUGAACCAUAUAGUAUACAAGUCAAAAUUCAGUUUUAUCUAAAAUCAGAAGACUUUCUGGAACUAAAUCAUUGAGCAUGGCCAAUCAGCUUUCAAUUAGCAGAAUAAUAAAUGCCGUGUAAAGAGUAAAAUAAAAAGAAUCAAUAUUUUUUUGAUUUAGCUUGAAAAGGCACAUUUCCUUUUACCCUUGUGAAAUUAGUUUCCUGUGUUCCUUCUCAAACUAUUCUUCAGAGAUAAUUGUGAAGGAAAGUUUAUUUCAAGAAUCAGAUAAAAUGCUUACUUGCAUUUGAUUUAAGAAAUAGACCCAGCACCAUGCUUUAGAACCUCAACCCAUUGAGCCAUCACCAUCAUGUUCUUCAGUAACUCAUGAAAUGCUUUGUUUGGAUGGAGAGGGCCAGAUCCUGAGCAGAAAUGAAUUUUCCAGUAUGGAUAUUUCGUAGGAAGGCCAAUGGCUGGAACAAUUUAGACCAGAUGCUAAUUCAGUGUUUUGUGGAUAGCACCAAGAAUUGUUGUUAUUUUCAUUGAUUGUGGAUCCACGUGUAAGUUUUUUCACAUUAUUUUUUAUUCUUUUUUCUUAUGGGAAAAAAAAGAGGGAAAAAGGUUCCUUGUGCUUAUUUAUGAGGUAAUUUUGGUUCUGGGGGCAACCUUUUUGUGCCAUUAAGCAAAGGAAUAAAAAGGUAAAUGUGAUACUGCCAGUCAGUCAUGUUCAAUUGUCACAAGUUUAUUGGUGAUUCUUGUUUCUCACCCCUACUUGCUUUGCAGCUUUUCAUGAAUUUUCUUUGUUAAUGAAAUUUAUGAGAUUUCUGCUCAUUUAGCGACCAAGUGGUUAUAUUUGAAAGGACAACUCUAUCAAAUUAUCCUUUCAUUGUGCUCAGAGUUUAUGCAGUUUGAAGUGAUCAUGUAAAGGUACACGAGAGAUUUUUCUUUGAUGACAGAAUGACGAGUAAAGCCAUUCAUUGUCAAUUUCUUGUAUCGUUGGACAAUAAUGUAAAUAUUGAGGUGAUGCAUAAUGUUUAAUAGCAGUCUUAUUAUUAUUAAUAACACAUUGAUAUUACAAGAAAGCACUCAAUAAUCAUUUGGCUGAGCAAGAAUAAGGUUAAUUAGAAAUACUGAAAAUGAUAAUAGAUUGUAUGGCGUGCUCAACCAAGGAAAGCAAAUGAUUAGGAGUAUUACCUUAAGGAUUAGGAGUAUUACCUUGUGAUGCCGAGGCAGGCGUAAUGUAAAACAAGCAGUCAUGCAUACGAGCCACCGGUUUCAGUUAUUAACUAAUUUAAUAUUAACUUUAAUUCCCACUCGCAGUUGGUAAUCUUUUAUACUAAUGUUAUGUAUCAGAAGAUCUCUCGCCCUCCUACACCUUAUACAGGUAAACGUUUUUGCGCUCCUUCAUCUACUGGACAGCCUAAAAUUAAUACAAUUACAAUGAGGUGCGUGUUCAUGGACUUAUGUGUUAUUAAGAUUGAGACGGCUGAAACUGGAUGUGUGGACAAGAUCGCUCGGGUGCCCAUAGAGCUUUGAGAUCACCUCUCUUCUUUCCCAGUGUCAAGAAGGUGCCAAGUGUGAACGGAACAAUGUAGAGCAGUGCUGGCUGGCCAUGGCCAUCCAUCAUGUUCAAAGCUAUAUAUGUGAUUAGGAGACCUAAACCAUAAGCAGUCAUUGCCCACAGAAAAUAUCCUGCGCGGAGAUUCUUCUUUGUCAGCCAAUCAUAUCUGCAAACACGAGCACAUUGGACUUAUAACCACUCCAAAUACCAACUUAAGUUUCCCAGCUUGUAUGAAACAUAACAAAGCAAAAUAAAUUCAGAUGUAUGAUGAUGAAACAUGCAAAUCAUUGGAUUCAUGGACCAAGCAUUCUAGCCUGUCCCAUAUCUCAUUUGGUCCAAAGUAUUACAUGCUGCAGUCAUGAAUCUCAUUACCUUACAAAUUUAUUACAUGCUGCAGCCAUGAUCUCUUUACCUUACAAAUUUACUUUGCUGAGAAGAACUGAAAACAGGCAAAUUUCAAUUAAAGGUACGAGUAGGUUGGUUUGCAGAGUCAUGAGUAUCUGGCUUUUAACUCCAAAGUCCAAAAUGCAUGCUCAACUCUAGGCCCCACAAAGCAACAGAGAAAACAAAAAAAGAAAAAUUGCUUUCAAAUGGAAAAAGGGCCGCAGGAGGAGGGGACGCAGAUUCAAUUUUUUUGGGAAUCAAGGAACAUUAACCGGGAAAGUUUUAUGGCUUAAAAUUCAAACCUUAAUGCAAAAGCAACAAGCAAUCCUGGUAAGAUGAUAUCACCAAAUCCAAUAAUGCUAUAGCCACCCCAAGGAUCAAACAUACGAGGGAUUUUCAAAAGCAUUGGUAUACCAUCCUCUCCACUCUUAUCACCACGAGCUACCACUAUCAUCACACUUUCCUUGAACCACAAUUUGGAAACAAAUACCCAGAAGAUGUCAUACAAGAAUGCGCAACUGAGAAGAACUGUUCCAACCUAAUUACAUUAUUUGUCGCCAAAACAGAAGAUGAAGAAAGAAAGACAAAAUCAGUUAUCAUUGUCAAAAUAGUUCUUAGUGCACGCUAUCCAUUUGGAUCAUGCCAUGACCUUGAACGAUUAAAAGCUUCUUAUCCAAUAAAAGAGGGACUUGAGCUAGAUAUUCUUAAGAGCUUGAACUCGGAACAUUCCAUGGUGCAAAACAUUUGUCAAAAUAAAACUAGAACCCAUGUAAAAUUGAUGGCUUUCAGCUGGAGUUAGGUAUCUCAACAAAGAUCAAAAGAAUAGGUUUCUUUAGUAAAUCAAUCUAAAAGAAGGGAAACAAAGGAGAGAAUAACAGAAGAACAAUGCUAUGGAUAACAUGCUUUCCAGAGUGAAUUUGCACAAUCACCUUGAGAUUCGGUACAUGAACAAUCUGAAGAACUGUGAUGAUUAGCGCAAUGCCAAGGAUAUCUUGACCUAUCCAGGCAAAGGAGACACGGCGGUAAACUGCCCAAACAACAGCAAAUGAUAUGCAAAAGGGAGAGACAGCCAAGGUCAAAUAUGAUACGGCUCCAAAGAAGGGAACUUUAAUAAAUGAUUCUCCAGCAUGUUGAAAGCAUCUGAAACAUGAUAACAAAGCUACCAAGCAAGUUUGCAAGCCCUCUAUCCCACCAAUGCAGAACAGAACCACCAGAACAUCCAUAAACCACAAUGACAUAAGUUUGUAAAGCAUGACCAAGAAGCAUGAAGCAACAACAACAAACAGGACGGCCGAUGUGGUGUUGAUGUCUACAACACUACUAACACCUACAACCUUGUCAUUUGGAAUUUCAUCUACAGCAUCCUUCAAUAGCUUGUCAUGUUCAAUAGCUGCUUCUCUGGCACUCCAUGCAGACCAGUAAGAUGCACACAAGAUGGUAACAACCGCCAUCAGCCACAAAAAUACUUCGGCUAUAUCAACUAGUGGCCGCUUUGGAGAGUAUAGCUGCACAGACACUGAUGAACUAUUCAAUAGCAUUUUUUCCAAGCUUGCACCAGCAUCUUGUGGUAGCAUAACAGCAGGUAUUUUUAUGUCAAGAUCAGUUUCAUCAGGCUCACAAACCAUCUUGUAAAGUUCUUUUUGGUUAUUUAUUAUAAGGACAGCAGAAGCACCAGCAGCUUCUGCAUUAUUUGCUUUGGCUGUGAAUUUGCACUGGCCUCGAUCAACCAUAAUGAUAUCCCUAUCAAGCUUGUUCUUGGGAGGAGUGCAACAAUCUCGAGGAUCUGAAAGAGUGAGGCGAGUUUGAUUUGCAUUUUUCUCCUUUGAUACAAUGGUGGUGCCAAAUCUAGCACCCACGCCAACAAAUUCAGCAUCCUCUAUUCCAUUGACCCAAGUUUGAACUUUUACCAAGACGAAGUCAUUCUCGCAACCAGGCUUUUUGGGAGCUGAAUCAUCGUCAUGCACUAUGUCCCCAGCUGUAACAGAAGACGGGUAACAGAACAACGAAAUCACAGCUGAAACAGAGAUUACUAAGCAGAGUUUCUUCAAAUCCAUGGAUUCCCCCCUCAAGUAAAUUCCCUCUAGCGUUCUCUCUCUGCAAACAGAACUUAAAGCAGAGAGAGAAAGAUAGAGUCGAGAAAGGGACAGAGAGGCUUCUCGUCUAGUUUUCUUUUUUCUUUUUUUUAAUAUAAGAGGGUUUUUAUGGAGACCCUUUUCUGAAGAGGAAACGCAAAGGUAAAGAGAGGGAGGGAGAGAUGCAGACAGAGGCAAGAGUUGGAGUGGUGGUAGAGGGAGGGACG